rnacentral:rRNA from 1 species
CCUACGGGGGGCAGCAGUGAGGAAUAUUGGUCAAUGGACGAGAGUCUGAACCAGCCAAGUAGCGUGAAGGAUGACUGCCCUAUGGGUUGUAAACUUCUUUUAUAUGGGAAUAAAACGUUCCAUGUGUGGGAUUUUGUAUGUACCAUAUGAAUAAGGAUCGGCUAACUCCGUGCCAGCAGCCGCGGUAAUACGGAGGAUCCGAGCGUUAUCCGGAUUUAUUGGGUUUAAAGGGAGCGUAGGUGGAUUGUUAAGUCAGUUGUGAAAGUUUGCGGCUCAACCGUAAAAUUGCAGUUGAAACUGGCAGUCUUGAGUACAGUAGAGGUGGGCGGAAUUCGUGGUGUAGCGGUGAAAUGCUUAGAUAUCACGAAGAACUCCGAUUGCGAAGGCAGUUCACUGGACUGCAACUGACACUGAGGCUCGAAAGUGUGGGUAUCAAACAGGAUUAGAUACCCCUGUAGUC